rnacentral:tRNA from 1 species
GUGCCUAUGGUGUAAUGGUUAGCACGAGAGUUUGUGGAGCUCUCAGUUCGGGUUCAAAUCCCGAUAGGCACC